rnacentral:sRNA from 1 species
AAUUAAAUUGGUUUAGAUGUGUUGGUUAAACUUAAAUUGACAUUGGUUUAGAGAUUUUAGUUGGUUUAAUUCAAUUUUACAAAAUUUGAUGGGUUAAUUGGGUAAACCAUUGAAACCAUUAACCAUUACAACCCAACUCAUUUUACUCAUCAAACCAAUUGACUCAUCAACCCAUUUGACCCAUCAACUCAUUUGAGUCAAAAUUUUCAACUCAUUAGGGUUCAUGGAUUGAGUUGAGUUGAGUUGACCCAUGAAUUUUGACCCAUUUUGACACCCCUAGCUAAGCCUGAUAGAUUUAUUAGAACUCCACGUGGACGGCCUUAUAAGCUUAUAGC